rnacentral:rRNA from 1 species
CCUUUUGUAGAAUGAACCGGCGAGUUACUGUAUGGAGCGAGGUUAAGCAGGAUAUGCGGAGCCGAAGCGAAAGCGAGUCUUAAGAGGGCGCGAGUUGCAUGCAGUAGACCCGAAACCGGGUGAUCUAGCCAUGACCAGGUUGAAGUUGGGGUAAAACCCGAUGGAGGACCGAACCGACCCCCGUUGAAACGUUGGCGGAUGAGUUGUGGCUAGGGGUGAAAUUCCAAUCGAACCCGGAGAUAGCUGGUUCUCCCCGAAAUAGCUUUAGGGCUAGCGUCGAGAGAAGAGUUGCGUGAAGGUAGAGCACUGAAUAUGUGAUGGCCCCAUCUCGGGGUACUGAGCAUAAUCAAACUGCGAAUGUCACGCCAACAUGCUCGGCAGUCAGACAGCGGGUGAUAAGGUCCGUUGUCAAGAGGGAAACAGCCCAGACCAUCAGCUAAGGUCCCAAAAUGUAUGCUAAGUGGAAAAGGAUGUGGAGAUGUACAGACAACUAGGAGGUUGGCUCAGAAGCAGCCAUCCUUUAAAGAGUGCGUAACAGCUCACUAGUCGAAUGACUCUGCGCCGAUAAUUUACCGGGGCUAAGCAUACUACCGAAGCUAUGGAUCCCAAGGGAUGGUAGGGGAGCGUUCCAUGAACGGAGAAGUACGACCGAAAGGACGUGUGGAGAUCAUGGAAGAGAGAAUGCCGGUGUGAGUAGCGGAACGUGGGUGAGAAUCCCACGCACCGAAAACCCAAGGUUUCCAGAGGAAGGUUCGUCCGCUCUGGGUAAGUCGGGACCUAAGGCGAGGCCGAAAGGCGUAGUCGAUGGACAACAGGUAGAGAUUCCUGUACCCGUAUAUAUGUGAAGGAAUGACGGAGAGAGGAAGCUGCAGCCAGCGGCUGGAAGAGCUGGUGCAAGCGAGAUAUCGGGAUGGCAGGCAAAUCCACCAUCCGAAACGAGAAGGCGUGAAGCGUACGGAAAGCUACGGCGAGUACGGAAGGCAGUGGAGGAACUUCCAAGAAAAGUUUCUAACGUUAAGUAUAUAUGGCCCGUACCGAAAAUGGACACACAUGGGUGAGGAGAGAAUCCUAAGGUGAGCGAGAGAACUAUAGCUAAGGAACUCUGCAAAAUGACUCCGUAACUUAGGGAGAAGGAGUGCUCAUAGAGAUAUGAGCCGCAGUGAAACGGCCCAAGCGACUGUUUACCAAAAACACAGCUCUCUGCUAAGCCGCAAGGCGAAGUAUAGGGGGUGACGCCUGCCCGGUGCUGGAAGGUUAAGGGGAGGGGUUAACGCAAGUGAAGCCCUGAACUGAAGCCCCAGUAAACGGCGGCCGUAACUAUAACGGUCCUAAGGUAGCGAAAUUCCUUGUCAGGUAAGUUCUGACCCGCACGAAAGGCGUAACGAUUUGGGCGCUGUCUCAGCUGUAGACUCGGUGAAGUCUUAGUACCUGUGAAGAUGCAGGUUACCCGCGACUAGACGGAAAGACCCCAUGGAGCUUCACUGCAGGUUGAUAUUGGGAUUUGAUGCAGCAUGUACAGGAUAGGUAGGAGGCAAAGAGAUGGAUACGCCAGUAUUCAAGGAGCCGCUGUUGGGAUACUACCCCUGUUGUAUUGGAUUUCUAACCGGACGACGUAGAGCCGUUGACGGGACAGUGUCAGUCGGGCAGUUUGACUGGGGCGGUCGCCUCCCAAAGAGUAACGGAGGCGCCCAAAGAUACCCUCAGCUUGGAUGGAAACCAAGCGCAGAGUGCAAAGGCAAAAGGGUGUUUGACUGCGAGACCCACAAGUCGAGCAGGGACGAAAGUCGGGCUUAGUGAUCCGGCGGUGCUGAAUGGAAAGGCCGUCGCUCAACGGAUAAAAGCUACCCUGGGGAUAACAGGCUGAUCUCCCCCAAGAGUUCACAUCGACGGGGAGGUUUGGCACCUCGAUGUCGGCUCAUCGCAUCCUGGGGCUGGAGCAGGUCCCAAGGGUAUGGCUGUUCGCCAUUUAAAGCGGUACGCGAGCUGGGUUCAGAACGUCGUGAGACAGUUCGGUCCCUAUCCUCCGUGGGCGCAGGAGAAUCGAUGGAGGCUGCCCCCAGUACGAGAGGACCGGGGUGGACGCACCUCCGGUGAACCGGUUGUCGACCAACGGCACGGCCGGGUAGCCGCGUGCGGCGCGGAUAACCGCUGAAGGCAUCUAAGCGGGAAGCCGUUCCAGGGAUUAGUUCUCCUUCCGGUAAGGGCCCAGGUAGACUACCUGGUCGAUAGACGGCAGGUGCAAGGGCGGCGACGUCCUCAGCCGAGCCGCACUAAUCGCCCGAGCUCUUCCGGA